UACGUAGGGGGCGAGCGUUGUCCGAAUUUACUGGGCGUAAAGCGCGCGUAGGCGGCUUUUUAAGUCUGGUGUGAAAGGUUCAGGGCUCAACCCGAACAGUGCACUGGAUACUGGAUGGCUUGAGUUUGGGAGAGGGAUGCGGAAUUCCAGGUGUAGCGGUGAAAUGCGUAGAUAUCUGGAGGAACACCGGUGGCGAAGGCGGCAUCCUGGACCAACACUGACGCUGAGUGAGCGAAAGCCAGGGGAGCAAACGGG
rnacentral:rRNA from 1 species